rnacentral:tRNA from 1 species
ACAUUUUUAGUAUUUGUAAUAUAUUAGAUUUAGAUUCUAAAGAUUUUUAAAUGUA